UAAGCGACUAAGCGUACACGGUGGAUGCCCUGGCAGUCAGAGGCGAUGAAGGACGUGCUAAUCUGCGAUAAGCGUCGGUAAGGUGAUAUGAACCGUUAUAACCGGCGAUUUCCGAAUGGGGAAACCCAGUGUGUUUCGACACACUAUCAUUAACUGAAUCCAUAGGUUAAUGAGGCGAACCGGGGGAACUGAAACAUCUAAGUACCCCGAGGAAAAGAAAUCAACCGAGAUUCCCCCAGUAGCGGCGAGCGAACGGGGAGCAGCCCAGAGCCUGAAUCAGUGUGUGUGUUAGUGGAAGCGUCUGGAAAGGCGCGCGAUACAGGGUGACAGCCCCGUACACAAAAAUGCACAUGCUGUGAGCUCGAUGAGUAGGGCGGGACACGUGGUAUCCUGUCUGAAUAGUGGGGGGACCAUCCUCCAAGGCUAAAUACUCCUGACUGACCGAUAGUGAACCAGUACCGUGAGGGAAAGGCGAAAAGAACCCCGGCGAGGGGAGUGAAAAAGAACCUGAAACCGUGUACGUACAAGCAGUGGGAGCACAGAGCAAUCUGUGUGACUGCGUACCUUUUGUAUAAUGGGUCAGCGACUUAUAUUCUGUAGCAAGGUUAACCGAAUAGGGGAGCCGAAGGGAAACCGAGUCUUAACUGGGCGUUAAGUUGCAGGGUAUAGACCCGAAACCCGGUGAUCUAGCCAUGGGCAGGUUGAAGGUUGGGUAACACUAACUGGAGGACCGAACCGACUAAUGUUGAAAAAUUAGCGGAUGACUUGUGGCUGGGGGUGAAAGGCCAAUCAAACCGGGAGAUAGCUGGUUCUCCCCGAAAGCUAUUUAGGUAGCGCCUCGUGAAUUCAUCUCCGGGGGUAGAGCACUGUUUCGGCAAGGGGGUCAUCCCGACUUACCAACCCGAUGCAAACUGCGAAUACCGGAGAAUGUUAUCACGGGAGACACACGGCGGGUGCUAACGUCCGUCGUGAAGAGGGAAACAACCCAGACCGCCAGCUAAGGUCCCAAAGUCAUGGUUAAGUGGGAAACGAUGUGGGAAGGCCCAGAUAGCCAGGAUGUUGGCUUAGAAGCAGCCAUCAUUUAAAGAAAGCGUAAUAGCUCACUGGUCGAGUCGGCCUGCGCGGAAGAUGUAACGGGGCUAAACCAUGCACUGAAGCUGCGGCAGCGACGCUUAUGCGUUGUUGGGUAGGGGAGCGUUCUGUAAGCCUGCGAAGGUGUGCUGUGAGGCAUGCUGGAGGUAUCAGAAGUGCGAAUGCUGACAUAAGUAACGAUAAAGCGGGUGAAAAGCCCGCUCGCCGGAAGACCAAGGGUUCCUGUCCAACGUUAAUCGGGGCAGGGUGAGUCGACCCCUAAGGCGAGGCCGAAAGGCGUAGUCGAUGGGAAACAGGUUAAUAUUCCUGUACUUGGUGUUACUGCGAAGGGGGGACGGAGAAGGCUAUGUUGGCCGGGCGACGGUUGUCCCGGUUUAAGCGUGUAGGCUGGUUUUCCAGGCAAAUCCGGAAAAUCAAGGCUGAGGCGUGAUGACGAGGCACUACGGUGCUGAAGCAACAAAUGCCCUGCUUCCAGGAAAAGCCUCUAAGCAUCAGGUAACAUCAAAUCGUACCCCAAACCGACACAGGUGGUCAGGUAGAGAAUACCAAGGCGCUUGAGAGAACUCGGGUGAAGGAACUAGGCAAAAUGGUGCCGUAACUUCGGGAGAAGGCACGCUGAUAUGUAGGUGAAGUCCCUCGCGGAUGGAGCUGAAAUCAGUCGAAGAUACCAGCUGGCUGCAACUGUUUAUUAAAAACACAGCACUGUGCAAACACGAAAGUGGACGUAUACGGUGUGACGCCUGCCCGGUGCCGGAAGGUUAAUUGAUGGGGUCAGCGCAAGCGAAGCUCUUGAUCGAAGCCCCGGUAAACGGCGGCCGUAACUAUAACGGUCCUAAGGUAGCGAAAUUCCUUGUCGGGUAAGUUCCGACCUGCACGAAUGGCGUAAUGAUGGCCAGGCUGUCUCCACCCGAGACUCAGUGAAAUUGAACUCGCUGUGAAGAUGCAGUGUACCCGCGGCAAGACGGAAAGACCCCGUGAACCUUUACUAUAGCUUGACACUGAACAUUGAGCCUUGAUGUGUAGGAUAGGUGGGAGGCUUUGAAGUGUGGACGCCAGUCUGCAUGGAGCCGACCUUGAAAUACCACCCUUUAAUGUUUGAUGUUCUAACGUGGACCCGUAAUCCGGGUUGCGGACAGUGUCUGGUGGGUAGUUUGACUGGGGCGGUCUCCUCCUAAAGAGUAACGGAGGAGCACGAAGGUUGGCUAAUCCUGGUCGGACAUCAGGAGGUUAGUGCAAUGGCAUAAGCCAGCUUGACUGCGAGCGUGACGGCGCGAGCAGGUGCGAAAGCAGGUCAUAGUGAUCCGGUGGUUCUGAAUGGAAGGGCCAUCGCUCAACGGAUAAAAGGUACUCCGGGGAUAACAGGCUGAUACCGCCCAAGAGUUCAUAUCGACGGCGGUGUUUGGCACCUCGAUGUCGGCUCAUCACAUCCUGGGGCUGAAGUAGGUCCCAAGGGUAUGGCUGUUCGCCAUUUAAAGUGGUACGCGAGCUGGGUUUAGAACGUCGUGAGACAGUUCGGUCCCUAUCUGUCGUGGGCGCUGGAGAAUUGAGGGGGGCUGCUCCUAGUACGAGAGGACCGGAGUGGACGCAUCACUGGUGUUCGGGUUGUCAUGCCAAUGGCACUGCCCGGUAGCUAAAUGCGGAAGAGAUAAGUGCUGAAAGCAUCUAAGCACGAAACUUGCCCCGAGAUGAGUUCUCCCUGACUCCUUGAGAGUCCUGAAGGAACGUUGAAGACGACGACGUUGAUAGGCCGGGUGUGUAAGCGCAGCGAUGCGUUGAGCUAACCGGUACUAAUGAACCGUGAGGCUUAACCU
rnacentral:rRNA from 1 species